rnacentral:tRNA from 1 species
GGGUCCGUAGCUCAGUUGGUAGAGCAGUUGCCUCUUAAGCAAUUGGUCGCGCGUUCGAAUCGCGCCGGGCCCACCA